rnacentral:rRNA from 1 species
CAAUAGCGUAUAUUAAAGCUGUUGCGGUUAAAAAGCUCGUAGUUGGAUUUCUGUCAAGGACAACUGGUCCGCCCUCCGGGUGAGCACAUAGUUUGGUCUUGGCAUCUUGUUCAAAACUGUUACUGCGCUUGGUUGUGUGGUGCAGUUUUGGGCACUUUCACUUUGAGGAAAUUGGAGUGUUUCAAGCAGGCACAUGCCUUUGGACACAGUAGCAUGGAAUAAUUAGAUUGGGCUUUUGCUCCAACUUGUCGGUUCCUGGAGCUGAGGUGAGAAUCAAUGGGGAUUGUUGGGGGCAUCUGAAUUUAGCCGUCAGAGGUGAAAUUCUUGGAUCUGCUAAAGACGGACAACUGCGAAAGCGGUUGCCCAGGAUGUUUUCAUUGA